UAGUAAAAUUGCAAAGUUUGGUUGCGAAAUGUUGUAAAAUGAGGAAAAUAUAGUACUGUGAAGUUCGAAAAUUUUGUAUGUAUUUGCAUUGCGUGCGUGAAAAAUACCCGUAACCAUUUUUGAGCCGAAAGUGGUUAUUUUUACCGCGCGUAUUAAACACAGAUCUAUACAAAAUUUGCGAACUAUAUUUUCCUCAUUUUACAACAUUUCGCAACCAAACUUUGCAAUUGUACUA